GCUUUACUGUAGCUUGAAAUUGAAUUUCGGCUUAGUUUGCGCAGUAUAGGUGGGAGGCAGUGAAAAUGAUUUUGUGGAAUCAUUAGAGCCAUCAGUGAGAUACCACUCUAACUAAGCUGAAAUUCUAACUUUAAACCGUUAUCCGGUUUGGGAACAGUUUCAGGUGGGCAGUUUGACUGGGGCGGUCGCCUCCUAAAAAGUAACGGAGGCGUGCAAAGGUUUCCUCAGGCUGGUUAGAAAUCAGUCGUAGAGUAUAAAGGCAAAAGGAAGCUUGACUGCAAGACUUACAAGUCGAGCAGAGACGAAAGUCGGCCUUAGUGAUCCGACAGUGCUGAGUGGAAAGGCUGUCGCUCAACGGAUAAAAGUUA
rnacentral:rRNA from 1 species